ACGUUGAUAGGACGGGUGUGUAAGCGCAGCGAUGCGUUGAGCUAACCGGUACUAAUGAACCGUGAGGCUUAACCUUACAACGCCGAAG
rnacentral:rRNA from 1 species